rnacentral:lncRNA from 1 species
AAUUAAAUGCAAUUCAUCAUGAACAAGCCAAUGCUUUGACUACCCUAAGGAGUGGACGUGUAGUAGACAAUAAGAUUGGGGAGGACAACAAUAAGGAAGGUGAAGAAGAGGAUAGAAAUGUGUCAAAUGAAAAUCUAAAAUCUUCUUCUUCUUCUUCAGCUAGUCCACCUUCUGCCAAAACUCACAUCCCAAAGGCCCCAUUUCCUGAAGCUGUUAAUUCACCCUCUCCCUUUGGCAAAAAGGGAACUUCACUAGAGGAAAU